rnacentral:rRNA from 1 species
UACGGAGGAUCCAAGCGUUAUCCGGAAUCAUUGGGUUUAAAGGGUCCGUAGGCGGUCUUGUAAGUCAGUGGUGAAAGUCCAUCGCUCAACGGUGGAACGGCCAUUGAUACUGCAAGACUUGAAUUAUUGGGAAGUAACUAGAAUAUGUAGUGUAGCGGUGAAAUGCUUAGAUAUUACAUGGAAUACCAAUUGCGAAGGCAGGUUACUACCAAUACAUUGACGCUGAUGGACGAAAGCGUGGGGAGCGAACAGG